rnacentral:rRNA from 1 species
CCUACGGGUGGCAGCAGUGGGGAAUAUUGGACAAUGGGGGCAACCCUGAUCCAGCCAUGCCGCGUGUGUGAAGAAGGCCCUCGGGUUGUAAAGCACUUUCAGUGAGGAAGAACGCCUGGUGGUUAAUACCCAUCAGGAAAGACAUCACUCACAGAAGAAGCACCGGCUAACUCCGUGCCAGCAGCCGCGGUAAUACGGAGGGUGCGAGCGUUAAUCGGAAUUACUGGGCGUAAAGCGCGCGUAGGUGGCUUGAUAAGCCGGUUGUGAAAGCCCCGGGCUCAACCUGGGAACUGCAUCCGGAACUGUCAAGCUAGAGUGCAGGAGAGGAAGGUAGAAUUCCCGGUGUAGCGGUGAAAUGCGUAGAGAUCGGGAGGAAUACCAGUGGCGAAGGCGGCCUUCUGGACUGACACUGACACUGAGGUGCGAAAGCGUGGGUAGCAAACAGGAUUAGAUACCCCAGUAGUC